rnacentral:snRNA from 1 species
GGAUGUGAGGGAGCUGUGGCUGUGACCUCUGUCAUGCCAUUGAUCUCUAGGGUUGAUUUGGCUGAUCUGGCUGGCUAGACAGGUGUCCUCUUCCUCACUGCUCCAUGUUUGUCCCCCCGAAACUGCAAGCUCAGUCAAAGAGGACAGCCACAGUCAAGGACGUAUGAGUAGCUAUGUUCCUCUGCUAGAACCUCCAAAGUUGCUCUCAAGUUUCAAAGAUCGAAUGUAGUUAGUGGCUACCAUAUUGGACAGUGCCAAUUAU